CAACAAUCCUACGGCGAUGCAAUUCAGGUCUGCGUACAAGCAACUGUUGAUGAGACACAACAUCACGGGAGGACGAGGAAACUGCGUUCCUCAAGACGAUACCGAAAUGCUGAGCAAUGUUGAAGAUAAAACUAGCAACAAAUCGUCAACUAUCGAAAUCAAGGAGGUGACGAUCGCGAGAAGAUAUGACUUGGCUUUGAGAGAUGAGCCAGCUGCAACUGAUCAUGAUUAC